AUCCGAACCCGAACCCGACUCCAAACCCGAGACCCGAACCCGAAUCCGAACCCGACGGAUUUUAAAAAUUUAUAUCCAAACCCGAACCCGAUCAAAAAUUCGAAAUCCGAACCCGAACCCGAAAAUUUGAACCUGAAAUAAUUAUUUCUUUUUUCAAUAUUUCAAAAUAUAUUAUAUUAAAUCUAAAUUUUUAAAAUACAAAUUCAAAUAUAACAUCAAUUUUUUAUAUAUAUAUUAUAUAUAAUACAAAAUAAAUUCGGGUUCGAGUCGGGUUCAGGUCGGAUUCGGAUUUGGAUUCGGAUCUGGUACACUCAAAAUUCAUAUUCGUCGGAUUUCUAGUUUUGAUAUCCAUAUCCGAAUCCAUAUCCAUUUAGUAUCGAAUAUUUCCGUUUUAUUCGGAUUCGAGUUCAGAUAAAAUUUUGGAUAUCCAUACCCAUUAACAUCCCUACUCCCGACCCCAGAUCCGUCCCCAAUUGCAUUCUUAUGCACAGCGAUGAAGCGAAGUAUAUAUGCGACUAUUUAAUGCCGGCCCCAUUCUUGUUCAUCUCUUUAUACCUGUCACAGAAAAAGCCAUCCCCUUCUUUGAACUUUCCUUUAUUCCCUUCAAUGCAUGCAAUUGGCCAACAACCAAGUCUUUUCUUUUUCUUUUUUUUUUCUUAUAAUAGAUAUGUCAGACGAAAAAAUCUAGCAAAAUAAUAUGAUAAUUUUAUGUUAAAAUAAUAUUAAAUUUUUUUUUUUUUUUUUUUUGNUUAUUUUUUGACUAUAAUUAUUUGUUUGUGAUAUUUCUCUCUCAUUUUGUUAUUUUAUGAUAUUUUUCUUUGUUGAAUCAAACAGUUUAAUUCAUUAAAUAGGAGUUUAAGUUGCUGUUUCAAAGUCAUUUCAAUGAUGGCAUUGUUGCCUGAAAAGAUUUAUAAGCAAAUUUAAGGUAAAUUAUACUUUUGGUCCACAAACUAUUGAGUGUCGUAAUGUUUUAGUACUCGAACUUUAGUUCGUUGUAAUUUCUAUCUCGAAUUAUCAGACAUAUGAUGUUUUAGUCAUCGAACUUUAUUAAUUAUUGCAAUUAAAUUUCACAACUCAAUUUUUUUUUGAAUAAGUAUUUAAUGAAUUACUAAUAUCGAAGUAAUAUAGUAUUGUAAUUAUUAUUGCAUCAUCAACUAGGAUAUUGCUAUAAUUCAGAAAGUUUGAAGACUAAAAUAUCACAUAUCUCAUAGUUCAAGCUAGAAAUUUAUUAAAAUUUACAACUUACUAAGGUUUGUGGACUAAAGUGUCACGCGCCUCAUAGUUGGAGCUAAAAAUUACAACAAAUUAAAAUUUGAGGAGUUAAGUGUCACGCGGCUCAUAGUUUGAGGACCCAAAGUGUAAUAUAUCCAUAAAAUCUAGAAAAAUACUUGUACACCCCAAAAGGAGAUGUAGAUCUUCCACCCGUAAUUCUAGAAUUGAUAAAAAUUAAAUUGGUUUUUAGUAAAAAAAAAAAUUAAAGUGACAAAAAUGAUGUUAAGAUAGAGUGGGUGUAUAUCUAGGGUGUACCUGUAGUGUUGCUCUAAAAAUUAUCUUCCAUUUUAGAAUUGUAUGUAGUCAACAAGGAAGAAUAUUAAGCACUGGAACAUACUUACUUUGAUUAUUUGAAUGUUGCAAAAGCUCAAAAAUGUUUUAAAAGUUCUUAUCCUCCUAUGCUAUAAAAUGAUUGUAGAAUUGCCCCAAGAAAAAAUGCUUCUUAUGAUAACAUUAUAGCAAUAAUGAUAACAACAAAUAAGAUGAUUGUUUACAUAGUGAUUACUUUAGUUUGUAUGCAUGCAAAUGGAUCAAGGUUGAUGGCACUCCCACUUCGAUCCGUCGCAAAUAGAGCAGUAAAUAAAGACUAAAAACUAAAAAAAUAAUCCAUCUCGAAUCCGCUCAAAUUCGCUUUUACAAUAGACUCGCAAAUAAAUCCACUCUCGUCUCGAUCUGCCCCACAAAAAAAGGUGGAUUUUCAAAAAUCCGAAUCCGAACCCGACUCCAAACCCGAAAUCCGAACCCGAAUCCGAACCCGACGGAUUUUAAAAAUUCAUAUCCAAACCCGAACCCGACCAAAAAUCCGAAAUUCAAACCUGAACCCGAAAAUUUGAACCCGAAACAAUUAUUUCUUUUUUCAAUAUUUCAAAAUAUAUUAUAUUAAAUCUAAAUUUUUAAAAUACAAAUUCAAAAUAUAACAUCAAAUUUAUAUAUAUAUAUAUAUAUAUAUAUAUAUAUANAAAUAUAACAUCAAUUUUUUAUAUAUAUAUUAUAUAUAAUACAAAAUAAAUUCGGGUUCGAGUCGGGUUCAGGUCGGAUUCGGAUUUGGAUUCGGAUCUGGUACACUCAAAAUUCAUAUUCGUCGGAUUUCUAGUUUUGAUAUCCAUAUCCGAAUCCAUAUCCAUUUAGUAUCGAAUAUUUCCGUUUUAUUCGGAUUCGAGUUCAGAUAAAAUUUUGGAUAUCCAUACCCAUUAACAUCCCUACUCCCGACCCCAGAUCCGUCCCCAAUUGCAUUCUUAUGCACAGC
rnacentral:lncRNA from 1 species